AUUGAACGCUGGCGGCAGGCCUAACACAUGCAAGUCGGGCGAGAGGCGGAGGGGGGAGGAAUGUAUGGGGACUGCCUGAUGGCGGGGGAUAACGACUGGAAACGGUAGCUAAUAAAGAAGACCAUCCGCGACCCCAGUUGGGAUUAGCUAGUAGGUGAGGUAAUGGCUCACCUAGGCGACGAUCCCUAGCUGGUCUGAGAGGAUGAUCAGCCACCCUGGUACUGAGACACGGCCCAGACUCCUACGGAGGCAGCAGUGGGGAAUAGUGCACAAUGGGCGCAAGCCUGAUGCAGCCAUGCCGCGUGUAUGAAGAAGGCCCUAGGGUUGUAAAGUACUUUCAGUCGGGAGGCUUUUCCGCCCCCCGAAGCACCGGCUAACUCCGUGCCAGCAGCCGCGGUAAUAC
rnacentral:rRNA from 1 species